rnacentral:misc_RNA from 1 species
AGUCGUAACAAGGUCUCCGUUGGUGAACCAGCGGAGGGAUCAUUACCGAGUUUACAACUCCCAAACCCAAUGUGAACGUUACCAAACUGUUGCCUCGGCGGGAUCUCUGCCCCGGGUGCGUCGCAGCCCCGGACCAAGGCGCCCGCCGGAGGACCAACCAAAACUCUUAUUGUAUACCCCCUCGCGGGUUUUUUUAUAAUCUGAGCCUUCUCGGCGCCCCUCGUGGGCGUUUCGAAAAUGAAUCAAAACUUUCAACAACGGAUCUCUUGGUUCUGGCAUCGAUGAAGAACGCAGCGAAAUGCGAUAAGUAAUGUGAAUUGCAGAAUUCAGUGAAUCAUCGAAUCUUUGAACGCACAUUGCGCCCGCCAGUAUUCUGGCGGGCAUGCCUGUCCGAGCGUCAUUUCAACCCUCGAACCCCUCCGGGGGGUCGGCGUUGGGGAUCGGCCCUCCCUCUGCGGGGGCCGUCUCCGAAAUACAGUGGCGGUCUCGCCGCAGCCUCUCCUGCGCAGUAGUUUGCACACUCGCACCGGGAGCGCGGCGCGUCCACAGCCGUUAAACACCCCAACUUUCUGAAAUGUUGACCUCGGAUCAGGUAGGAAUACCCGCUGAACUUAAGCAUAUCAAUAAGCGGAGGAA